rnacentral:rRNA from 1 species
AGAACGAACGCUGGCGGCAUGCCUAACACAUGCAAGUCGAACGAGACCUUCGGGUCUAGUGGCGCACGGGUGCGUAACACGUGGGAAUUUGCCUCGGGGUAUGGAAUAACUCAGGGAAACUUGAGCUAAUACCAUAUAAUGUCUUCGGACCAAAGAUUUAUCGCCCUGAGAUAAGCCCGCGUAGGAUUAGCUAGUUGGUGAGGUAAAGGCUCACCAAGGCGACGAUCCUUAGCUGGUCUGAGAGGAUGAUCAGCCACACUGGGACUGAGACACGGCCCAGACUCCUACGGGAGGCAGCAGUGGGGAAUAUUGGACAAUGGGCGAAAGCCUGAUCCAGCAAUGCCGCGUGAGUGAUGAAGGCCUCCGGGUUGUAAAGCUCUUUUACUCGGGACGAUAAUGACGGUACCGAGAGAAUAAGCCCCGGCUAACUCCGUG